CAAUAGCGUAUAUUAAAGUUGUUGCAGUUAAAAAGCUCGUAGUUGGAUUUCUGGUGGGAGCGAUCGGUCUGGCGCUUAGCGCGAGUACUUGCAUCGUCUCCGGCCAUCCUUGGGGAGAGUCUGUCUGGCAUUAAGUUGUCGGGCAGAGGAUCCUCAUCGUUUACUGUGAAAAAAUUAGAGUGUUCAAAGCAGGCUUAUGCCGUUGAAUAUAUUAGCAUGGAAUAAUAAGAUAGGACUAUGGUACUAUUUUGUUGGUUUGCGCACCAAAGUAAUGAUUAAUAGGGACAGUUGGGGGUAUUCGUAUUCCGUUGUCAGAGGUGAAAUUCUUGGAUUUACGGAAGACGAACUACUGCGAAAGCAUUUACCAAGGAUGUUUUCAUUAA
rnacentral:rRNA from 1 species